CGGAUCGUCAAAAGGAGCUUCUGCUGGCUUUUGUGAAAGAGCACCCACAGAUCGCGACGCUGUCGUGCCCGCUGGAGCCGUCGUUCACGAGGGAGGACCGGGACGACAUGUGGUAGGAGCUAGUAGCGCUUUUGAACGAAGAAGUCCCUGUGCGUAACACCAGGGCCCAGUGGCAGGCCCGAUGGAGGAAUGAGCGCUACUAUUCGCAGCAGGGUCUUGCCAAACUCCGAGGGCAGCAGAGCGGCACCCGAGGCGGCCAGAUUUCGGAUUACCGCGGCCGCGUCGUGCUUGACAGGGACGAGUGUGCGAGGCCCAUAGUUCGGGUGGUCUGAAUCGGUGAGCCCUGCUCCAGCUGCUACUGGUGUGGCUGAAGAGGAUGUGGCCCAGGAUCUUCCCCGUGCCCCAACUCCUCAUGCCGCAGCUGCGAGAUGGGGGCAACCGGCAGGCCGAGGCGCUGGAGUUACUAGCCGCAAACACCAGGCGGCAGGGCCAGGCAUCAUUGGAAAGCUGCGCCAGGUUCAACUUCUCGGUGACGUGGUCCACGAAUUGCAAGGCGUUGGUACCCUCGCCCGGGC